AAGACAAUGAAUCUACGACAGAACACUAGUUCCUAGGGCGGCGUUUCUAAACAACAACAUUUCCGUUUCACCAAACCAUAGAAUUUAAGAUAUAGCGUCUUGCUUAAAUGCUUGUUGCAUGGAGAAAAUGCAGUAUCAUAAAACUUUGAAGGGAUACAAAUAUUUGAUAUACUACUGGAGGUAACUGCAAGAAGGAGUGAUAUGAAGCCAAGAAGCAUCAACCCUGAAGACAACAAUCACAUCAUGAUGAUGAUGAUGAUGAUGAUGAUGAUGAUGAUGAUAAAGAUGUAGCAAUUACCUUCUUUCAUUUUCUCAACAGCUGCAAGCAUUGGCUUGCGUUUCAUUUUCUUCAACCACUGGAAGAACAUUCAUUAUAAGUUAUAAGAUCAUGUUGAUGUUCAUAUAA